CUAACUUGGUGUGUGAAUUGUUGACCUCCUUGGCCUCUAGAAGCCCUUCCCUCUCCUGUCUGCUGGGCUGGAAUUUGGGGUGACCCCAGGAUGCUGCAUCCUCCAUCUCAUUUGUCCUCCCCUUAACCUUUCCAAUAAACCUGCGCACAAAGCCCCCAUUCUGCCCCACUCUGGCAGGUGUCUGGGAGAAAAACAGAGGGAUAUCCUGGAGGACUAACUCAGAAUGCCAGGAGAGUCUCGGCCUCUGCUGGGGCCUCCCCUUAAUAGGAAGCAGCUCUGCCCGGGCACUUCCUCCCAUGGAUCCUGAUGCCGUUGAGCUCUGCCACCUUGAUCUCCCCUUGGCGUCCUACAUGGUUCUGCUCUUUGCUUUCAGCGUUGCAGCUGUAGAUACCAAAACGCUCUCCAAGUUUACUUUCUUGGCCCCAAGCCCCCAGGCUCUGUCUUUACUGAUGGAGCAAUCAGUAAUGAGAAGAUUCUAUAGGACACAGGAAGUCUUCUGAGGAUGAAGACUUUGGCUUCGUCUUGAUUGAGGAUGAAACCAACUGGCCACUGGAGGACACCAUACACCUUGGAGAGAGCGGCAAGUAGGGACAGACUUGACCAGGAACCACUGGGCUACACCCAUCUCAGAAUAGAAUCAGUCCCGUGCUAUUAAUAAAGCUAUAUUUUAUAACUAAA